rnacentral:lncRNA from 1 species
CUGGCCCCAUUCCUCACAUGGGACAGUUACGCUGUGAGAGGAAUAGAGCACUGACGUCACAGAGUUAAACAUGGUUUAAAUUCUGAAACACAUGUGAAUUCUUGUUUCUCAUUUUGUUUUCCUUUCUCUUCCCCUUAGAAGAACCCAUGUCAAAUCUUCCUUCUCCCAUUUCCUGGUUCUGUUUGCACAACAUCCUGUAGCAACAGGAGAGAAUUUCUAAAAUGGAGAACCCCAAACCCUCCCCUGCAAUCCGUCUACCACACGGGACGGUGGCACUUUCUCCGCUGCAUUCCGGUGUGAGCGGGAUGGAAGGCUGCCUCUGGCUCGAACCAUCUGAGGGAACAGUGCAUGAAGGCCCACCGGCCCCUGAGCCCGCGCCCCACCCCAGCUCCAUGCGCUAGAACACUAAAGGUGCUGGUGCCCCGGAGGGUGCAGAGGACCCCGAACUGAGGGUGUAUGGGGUGAGAGACGAUUAAUACACAGGUUUUUUUCUCCUUUCUUAAGCCCACUGAGCAGUAUUUAUUGUUGCCUCCCCUGGGCUCCACUGCUGUCUGCUCAGCUGCUACGUGGGGCUAUGUGGGGAGUUCCAGGCCAGUUCUGUCCGCACUUUCCCCGCAAACAUGGAUACCAGGAGAACCAUCCAGAACAGGCACAGGACGUCUCUGCUGACACCGCAGCUGCUCUGCAAACUCUGAAGCUCCCUGAACUCUUGGCUCUGGACCCCCAGUGUCCCCCUGGUCCUCUCCAUGUAUCUGUCACAUCAGAUGUUCCGUCAGUCAACGCUUCCUGCAAGCAAACCACAGGUAAGACAAGGAUAUAAUGAAAAACAUUUGACCGUUGGUGCAAUUGUACAUUGUGUAAGAAAAGGUUUAAGUGAUAGCCGUUCUGUGUUCUAGCUAAACCACGUGUUACAAAACUGCUUCCAAACGACAUAAGUUGUAGGAUAUUUUAUUUCUUAAAGCGUUAUAAAAAUGUCUCAGUUAGUUGUUGAGAUUUCCAGCUAUUCUGGAGGGAUUAUUUUUUCUAUAGUUGUCAUUACUGAAGUGAUAGGCCAAGUGUGAGCCCUGGUUAGACAGGGGAGCCCCAUAAAAAGUUUUCGGUGGAUUCCCCAUUAAAUUGUCUUUGGUGUAACAACACAUAAAAUGUGAACUAUGUUGUUCAUGGUCCUAGAACAUGUUCACUUUAACAACUGCAUUUAGAUUUUCCCCUGUAAUAUUGUCUGAAAUUCUUGUAUAUUUAAUGUCUAUCUAGUUCACUCAGUCCAAAAAUCAUUUCUCCUAAUAUAUCUGAUCCAUGUGAUCAAUUGAUUUUGUUGAUUGAAUCUAUAUAGUUUUAUAAACAGUCAAGGUUAAUUAAAAGAAAACUUCAAG